rnacentral:rRNA from 1 species
CCUACGGGCGGCAGCAGUGGGGAAUAUUGCACAAUGGGCGCAAGCCUGAUGCAGCCAUGCCGCGUGUGUGAAGAAGGCCUUCGGGUUGUAAAGCACUUUCAGCGGGGAGGAAGGCGUUAAGGUUAAUAACCUCGGCGAUUGACGUUACCCGCAGAAGAAGCACCGGCUAACUCCGUGCCAGCAGCCGCGGUAAUACGGCGGGUGCAAGCGUUAAUCGGAAUUACUGGGCGUAAAGCGCACGCAGGCGGUCUGUCAAGUCGGAUGUGAAAUCCCCGGGCUCAACCUGGGAACUGCAUUCGAAACUGGCAGGCUAGAGUCUUGUAGAGGGGGGUAGAAUUCCAGGUGUAGCGGUGAAAUGCGUAGAGAUCUGGAGGAAUACCGGUGGCGAAGGCGGCCCCCUGGACAAAGACUGACGCUCAGGUGCGACAGCGUGGGGAGCAAACAGGAUUAGAUACCCUAGUAGUC